rnacentral:rRNA from 1 species
GUGAGGAAUAUUGGACAAUGGGUGCAAGCCUGAUCCAGCCAUCCCGCGUGAAGGAUUAAGGUCCUAUGGAUUGUAAACUUCUUUUAUACAGGGAUAAACCUCUCCUCGUGAGGAGAGCUGAAGGUACUGUAUGAAUAAGCACCGGCUAACUCCGUGCCAGCAGCCGCGGUAAUACGGAGGGUGCAAGCGUUAUCCGGAUUUAUUGGGUUUAAAGGGUCCGUAGGCGGGCCGAUAAGUCAGUGGUGAAAUCUCGCAGCUUAACUGUGAAACUGCCAUUGAUACUGUCGGUCUUGAGUAAAUUUGAAGUGGCUGGAAUAAGUAGUGUAGCGGUGAAAUGCAUAGAUAUUACUUAGAACACCAAUUGCGAAGGCAGGUCACUAAGAUUUAACUGACGCUGAUGGACGAAAGCGUGGGUAGCGAACAGGAUUAGAUACCCUGGUAGUCCACGCCGUAAACGAUGCUAACUCGUUUUUGGGCACUUGUGCUCAGAGACCAAGCGAAAGUGAUAAGUUAGCCACCUGGGGAGUACGAUCGCAAGAUUG